UCCUGGUUGAUCCUGCCAGUAGUCAUAUGCUUGUCUCAAAGACUAAGCCAUGCAUGUGCAAGUAUAAACGCUUGAAUCGUGAGACUGCGAAUGGCUCAUUAAAUCAGUUAUAGUUUAUUUGAUGGUGUCCUCCACGUGGAUAACCGUGGUAAUUCUAGAGCUAAUACAUGCAGAAGGUCCCGACUGUCACAGGAAGGGACGUAUUUAUUAGAUCCAAAACCAAUGCGGGUGUCGUUGUCUCGGCAGCGCCCCGGUCCUCUGGUGAUUCAUAGUAACUGCUCGAAUCGCUUGGCCUCCGCGCCGGCGAUGGUUCAUUCAAGUUUCUGCCCUAUCAACUUUCGAUGGUAGGGUAUUGGCCUACCAUGGUUGCAACGGGUGACGGAGAAUUAGGGUUCGAUUCCGGAGAGGGAGCCUGAGAAACGGCUACCACAUCCAAGGAAGGCAGCAGGCGCGCAAAUUACCCAAUCCCGACUCGGGGAGGUAGUGACAAUAAAUAACAAUGCCGGUCCCUUUAGUGGUCCGGCAAUUGGAAUGAGUACAAUCCAAACCCCUUAACGAGGAACAAUUGGAGGGCAAGUCUGGUGCCAGCAGCCGCGGUAAUUCCAGCUCCAAUAGCGUAUAUUAAAGUUGUUGCAGUUAAAAAGCUCGUAGUUGGAUUUCGGGGCCCCGGACGCCCGUUGCGUUCCCCGCCUGAUCCGUCGGGUGGGUGCGUGGCGGUCGUCGGUCUCUGAGUCGGAUCGGUCCGCCGAGAGGCGUGCACUGACCGACGGCCCCUGUUGUCUCUCGGGUUGCCCGCCUGCACUUCAUUGCUGCGGACGGGGAGUUCGGGACGUUUACUUUGAACAAAUUAGAGUGUUCCAAGCAGGCCGGUUGCUUUGAAUACAUUAGCAUGGAAUAAUGGAAUAGGGCUGCGUGACUCGUGUCCCUUCCUUCGGGGGGGGGCCGGGUCCUCGUGUCCUAUUUUGUUGGUUUUCGGGACCGCAGUCAUGGUCAAGAGGGACAGUUGGGGGCAUUCGUAUUCAGUUGUCAGAGGUGAAAUUCUUGGAUUUACGGAAGACGAACAACUGCGAAAGCAUUUGCCAAGGAUGUUUUCAUUAAUCAAGAACGAAAGUUGGGGGUUCGAAGACGAUCAGAUACCGUCGUAGUCCCAACCAUAAACCAUGCCGGCUAGGGAUCGGCGGACGUCGGUAGCGACUCCGUCGGCACCUCUCGAGAAAUCCAAGCCUUUGGGUUCCGGGGGGAGUAUGGUCGCAAGGCUGAAACUUAAAGGAAUUGACGGAAGGGCACCACCAGGAGUGGAGCCUGCGGCUUAAUUUGACUCAACACGGGGAACCUCACCAGGUCCGGACAUGGGAAGGAUUGACAGAUUGAGAGCUCUUUCUUGAUUCUAUGGGUGGUGGUGCAUGGCCGUUCUUAGUUGGUGGAGUGAUUUGUCUGGUUGAUUCCGUUAACGAACGAGACCUUAACCUGCUAACUAGUCGCGCCGUUUCCGAACGGCGGGGGUCCCGUUCCGGUCGCGCGUUUGGGCGCCGGCAGGGAUGGUCUCCCCUCCUCGUGUGGCGACUUCUUAGAGGGACACUCGGCGUCUAUCUUAGCCGAGGGAAGAUUGAGGCAAUAACAGGUCUGUGAUGCCCUUAGAUGUUCUGGGCCGCACGCGCGCUACACUGACGGAGGCAGCGAGCAUGUCCUUCGCCGAGAGGUGUGGGGAAUCUUGUGAGUCUCCGUCGUGCUGGGGAUAGAUGGUUGCAAUUGUCGAUCUUGAACGAGGAAUUCCUAGUAAGCGCGAGUCAUCAGCUCGCGCUGAUUACGUCCCUGCCCUUUGUACACACCGCCCGUCGCUACUACCGAUUGAAUGGCUUAGCGAGAGCUUUGGAUCGGAGCCCUGGUGGUCAGCAAUGGUCGCCCGGGAGUCAUUGAGAAAUCGCUCCAGCUUGGUCAUUUAGAGGAAGUAAAAGUCGUAACAAGGUUUCUGUAGGUGAACCU
rnacentral:rRNA from 1 species